AACAGCUCAAAUUUGAAAUCUGACCCCCUUGGGGCCCGAGUUGUAAUUUGUAGAGGGUGUUUCGGGCGCGGCGCCGGUCUAAGUUCCUUGGAACAGGACGUCACAGAGGGUGAGAAUCCCGUACGUGACCGGCGAUCAAGCCCAUGUGAAGCCCCUUCGACGAGUCGAGUUGUUUGGGAAUGCAGCUCAAAAUGGGUGGUAAAUUUCAUCUAAAGCUAAAUACCGGCCAGAGACCGAUAGCGGACAAGUAGAGUGAUCGAAAGAUGAAAAGCACUUUGGAAAGAGAGUUAAACAGUACGUGAAAUUGUUGAAAGGGAAGCGCUUGCGACCAGACCGGUCCGGGGGCGAUCAGCCGCUGCUCGUCAGCGGUGCACUCGCCCCCGAUCCGGCCAGCAUCGGUUUGGGCGGUGGGAAAAAAGUCCCGGGAAUGUGGCUCCCCUCGGGGAGUGUUAUAGCCCGGGUCGCAAUGCUGCCUGCCUGGACCGAGGACCGCGCUUCGGCUAGGAUGCUGGCGUAAUGGUUGCAAGCGACCCGUCUUGAAACACGGACCAAGGAGUCUAACAUCUAUGCGAGUGUUUGGGUGUCAAACCCAGGCGCGGAAUGAAAGUGAACGGAGGUGGGAACCCGUCAGACGGCGCACCAUCGACCGAUCCAGAUGUCUUCGGAUGGAUUUGAGUAUGAGCAUAGCUGUUGGGACCCGAAAGAUGGUGAACUAUGCCCGGAUAGGGUGAAGCCAGAGGAAACUCUGGUGGAGGCUCGCAGCGGUUCUGACGUGCAAAUCGAUCGUCAAAUCUAGGCAUAGGGGCGAAAGACCAAUCGAACCAUCUAGUAGCUGGUUUCUGUCGAA
rnacentral:rRNA from 1 species